rnacentral:tmRNA from 1 species
GGGGGUGACUGGCUUCGACUUUGGUCGUUGACUCGGGAGAAGCGAGCCGUGGUCUCCGGAACCACGUUAAAGAGCCGGAACCAAAACAAAUGCCGAGCCUCAGCUCGCAAUGGCUGCCUGAUAAGUAGCCCGUCUGCCCGGCCCCAGCUCUACGGGUCGGUUCCAGGCGUCAUCAAGUAGAGCUCACCUGGCGGCCGCGUCGGCCGGCCGUCGGGGAAAUUUCGCCGACUGGGAACUCUCACCGAUGCCGGUGGCGAGCGAGAGAUCCGAGAUCUGAUCACCGGAUGCGCUCGGAGNNNNNNNNNNAAGUCCCGAUGAAGCGUCGAAGGACGCGGGUUCGAUUCCCGCCACCUCCACCU